GUGUCAGCCGCCGCGGUAAUACGUAGGGUGCGAGCGUUAAUCGGAAUUACUGGGCGUAAAGCGUGCGCAGGCGGUUCGUUGUGUCUGUGGUGAAAGCCCCGGGCUUAACCUGGGAAUGGCCAUGGAAACUGGCGGACUUGAGUGUGGCAGAGGGGGGUGGAAUUCCGCGUGUAGCAGUGAAAUGCGUAGAGAUGCGGAGGAACACCGAUGGCGAAGGCAGCCCCCUGGGCUAACACUGACGCUCAGGCACGAAAGCGUGGGGAGCAAACAGGAUUAGAAACCCGGGUAGUCC
rnacentral:rRNA from 1 species